AGUUCUUAAAAAGGUGUUUCAAAAUAAGUGGCAACUUUAAUUAAAUGUUUUUUUAUUAUGUAGGGGAGGGGAUGGGCAAGACAUUUGGAAAUAAUUGUUCUUAUGGAAACAUUAUUUAUACAGUAGCAUCAAUGACUUACUUUAUAUUCCUUUCUUUACAUUUUAAGAAAAGGAGCCUUUCAUAUUUGUUUGAGGAUAAAAAUGUUUUUACGUUUUUAUACCUGGUUGAUGGAGUACUUUGUCCUUCUCAUAGCUUUAAAGGACCCUGAAUCCUGUUUUGGCACAUGCAGAAUAGAAGUGUGUCUCCUCUCCCCACUCCACUCUUGUGAUGCAUGUCUUUUAUUAAUAGGGAUACAAUUCUGGAAGUGAUAAAUUGAGACUUGGCUCUCAUUGCUUCACACAAAUAUGGCUGGUGAAACUCCAGUAUGUAGUUCAUAUGACAGAUUUCAAGAUAGCACAAAUUGAAUCAAGUGUUAUGACUCAGAACACUCUGAGGGUUAAUUAAUGUAUGUCUACAAAAAUAAUUUUGGGGUAAAAAGGCUACACAAUGGAAAAGUAUUAGUAUAGUGAUGCUCGCAUAUAGUAAAAGUUGUACAGGAACUAUUUUUAUAGCCAUCUUUCCCUCUUUUCAAUGCUUUCUCUCUCUCCCCUUAUCUAAGAGAUUAUGCCCUACUUUACUUAAAUCUUCAGUUAUCCAGGAGUUGGCUUCCUCUGCUUUUGGAACUUGUGAAGCAGCUGGGUAGUGAUGUUAGUCGGGGCUGGUUGGAACUGAGGAUGAAGGUGAGGAGGCUGGCAAGCUGUCACUCAAAGGAGUUGCAUGGAGUCUUGCCAAUGAGAACCAGACCAUGGCAGGAAUUAUAACUGAAGAAAUGAUUCACAUGUAUGUGUGUGUGCACACACAUAGUCACACAGACAGGCGUACACGUGAAACCGGUGAGUAAAGCAGAUUAUUCCCUGAGGAAAAUGAGAAAUAGAACUUCCCAGAAGUCAACAGUGACAGAAUUUGUUCACUCAUGUACUCUCUCAUGCCUCUGUUCUUUCAGUAUUUGUGUAAUCUCUACUCAGUGCUCUACACCAAAGAAGACAUUACAGGAUCAAAAUGGCCAAAUGUUUUUAAGAAAGUAGAAUUAAUUGGAGGCACUAUUUCCAUAUGUCUAAGAUUAAAUCAUAAUAAAAAAAAGCCAAGGGUUUAAUGUCUUUAAAAUGCCGUCGGGUACUACCAGAUCUACGGAAAAGGCCCACUCAUUUCUGAAGGAGUUUUUCUUUGAGGAUUAGCUUGUCUAUAAAAUUAAAAAAAACUAAACACAUGGUGAGAGGCUAUGGGUGAUGGUUCCUCUCAGGACAACUGGUAACAUUCCCAGAAUUGAUUCUCUUGGGAUCCAUCACUAGAAAUACAGGGAAGGCAGGAAAAUAAUGACGUAACUUGUUUGUUAACUUCCUUCUGGCUGCCUGAGAAAUACAGCAAACCAUUUUGUGUUUGAUAUGUACUAUAAAAGGUUGAGAAUAGUAAAAGGGAAAUAAAGCAUUACAUGGAUUUCACUGACGCACAGAAAAUAAACUUCUUGGUUCCUGUUUACCACCCACAUCGGUUCGAUUCUCCAAACUUGCUGUAGCUCUGUAUAGACUGUUUAAAAGGUUAGCUGCCAUGACCCUGAUACGACAAAGGGCUACACAAGAAGGCGAGUGCCAGCAGUGCAUGAACAGGAAAAUGUUUAAGCCUUAAAGGUAGAAACACCACAACAGUGGAUUCGAGUAAAAUGUUUCUGCGAGUUCAACUCUGGGAGCGUUUGACGGGUUGUCUUCCCAGAAUGAGAGGAAGGAUGUUGUCUUUAUGUGGAUGGGGUGGUUAGAAAAUGAAUGGAUUAGAUUUCCCAAAUAAGCAUCAUUUUGAGCAUCGUGUAUUCCAUUCACACCAGGGGCACCGAUUUAUAAUUACCCUAACGGAGCCCAGAGUGGGGAGAAAUGGCUGUUCCCAUCGACUUCUUCUUAGGCACCGAGUACAUUGGUCACCCACCACCUCAAUCACAGGGUGCAAGUGAAGUUUGCUGAUUUCAGCUUGCUUGCCAUGGAUGUGCAUUUCUAGGUCACUGAUUCUGGCACAGCAGUGUUCACGGCAAGCAGUGUAUAUAAAGGGGAAUUUACAUGCAGGACGGCUGGCAUAGCCGGAUGAACUUUGGCUUGGCCUGCUUGGGUAACUAACUGUAAAUGAAGCCUGGGCAUUUCCAGAUCGUGUCCUCGCUAAUGAAAAAUGCAUUUGUGUUUGGAUGUACCGAUAUCCAAGUAUAUUAAACCAAAACAUAUACUGAGCUGGCAACAUGGAAAAACAUCUAUUAUGAGUAGCAAGAGAAGGAGUGCCUCAAAUGUCUCCUUUAGCUCUGAAUUCUGUUCCCUAUUUUAUUGUGAGGGGAGUCUAUUAGCAAAAAAGAUAAGAUUUAAGAUAGAAACCUUGCAAGUAACGUUAAGUAGCUGUCUAUCAGAGCAUAUCAUCUACGAGAUGCUGUUAGCGGUUUGACUGAAUUCCAGCAGCAUAUACUUUUACUUAUCUUUCUGGGUUGGUUGCAUUCAGCCAUGAUGGUAUUCAGAUUGUUGACACAUGAUUUGUGAGAGGAUUUAGCUUUCCUUAAACUGCAACAUGAAUACUGAAAUGGGAAUCUAAUCUUAAAACUAGUGCAGGGCAAUUUGCAAAAGCAUCUUAAAACAUGAGUGUGGGGAAUCUUGAAACAUCAGGAAGAAAAUAUUUUUCCUAGUGUCAGGAAAAAACACUGCAGGAAAAGGAGGGUCAUUAGUAGCUGAUUUGCUGAACCAGAUGGGGCUUCGUGACAUGUUUAAGGUGAUCCCAAGAGUGGUAUUUUCUUGAGGCUACAAAUGCUAUCUUUGUAUCAAACUCUGAAGCCAGUGCUGGAAUAGAAAAUAGAUAUCUCAUUCUUUAGGUAUUUUUAGGCGUUAUUGAUUCUAGCUUCUAUAUUGAGUUUAUAAAAACAAAUCAGGGGCCUGAGGGGCCGCUGCCUGUUGUUGCAGGAUCACUGAGGGCAAGCGGUUCUUAGGGUAUUUAGAAACUAGUUAGGUACAAACACACACUGUGUGUUUGCAUAUAUGCAUAUACAUAUAUCCGUGUGUGUGUACACAUAUAUUCACAUGUAUGUGUAUGUGUUUGUAUGUGUGUACGUUUGUGUGUGUGUGUGUGUAUGUGUGGUGCUUUGAAUGAAGUGGAAAAACCCUGGAGUCAUGGCUUCCAAGGCAGUCUCUGGGCUUUAACCUACAGAUAUUGUGCAAUCUUGGGGAAGCUCUCUCACUCUGGGAGAUCAGCUAGUCGUGAGGAUCCUGCCCUUAGCAUCUGACACCUUCUUGGAUAACAUAUUUUGAAUCUGCUGAGGAAAAGGGUUGAGGGUUGAUAGUAUGUUUGCUCUGUAUUUAAACUUUCAAGCCAAAUGGGAGUCUGCAAUGUGCCUGACACUCUUCUAUGGGCACUGGGGACACUAUAGUGAAGAAAACAGAUAAAAGAAGGUGACAUAUGACUACUAAUUUGAAAGAGGCAAGAGAAGGAGGAAGGAACAUUCCAGGUAAAGAGAAAAUCAAUUGCAGAGGCCCCGAGGUGGGAGUGUGCUUGGCAUAUUUGAGGAAGAUCAGGGAGCCACUGUACCUGGAGUAAAAAAUGGGGUGAAAAGUUACCGGUGAAGUCAGAAUCUUGUAGGUCAUCGAAAGGGCUAUUCGCUAUCAUUUGGGACCCACUUUAGAGUGUUGAGCCUGGAAAGUGACAGGUGUGACCUGUGGUUUGAAUACAUCUGCCUGUACCCUAUGGUGAGAGAAGAUCUAGGUGGCUGGUAGGAGAGGAAGUGGGGAGAAAAGUUAGGAGGCUGUGGGAGUAAUUCUGCAAAGAGGUGAGGGUGCUGAUACUGAGGUGCUAAUGGAAGAGGUAGUGAGAAGGGGUCCGAUUCUUGAUAUAGAUGGAAAAAAUGGAGCUAAUUGGGUCACUAAUGCUUUGGAUGUGGGCUAUGAGGGAGAGAAGACAAGCAGGGCACCGAGGGUUAUAGCACUGAGACUGGAAGGAUGAGAUUUCCAUUUGCUAAAAUGAGAUGCCUAUUGGAAGAGCAGGUUUGGGAGACUAGGAAUUUGUUUGUGUGGGGGGAAUGCAUUUAAUUUCUGACCCUGCAAGUUUGUCGUAUCUCUAUUUGCAAGGCAAGUAGAAACAUCAAACAGACAGCUAGAAUUUGGGCAGACGCUGGGAAUUGUUAGUAGAUAGGUGGUGUGGGAAAGCCAUGAGGUCUCCAAGGAGACAGUGUACCCACACAUGUGGACGACGUCCUUGGGCAAAGCCUGGUGACCCUACAGCGUUCGGAGGUCAGGGAGAUGGGGAAGGACCAUAAAAGAAACUAGAUGAGUGAUCAGUGAGGAGGAAGGAAAAGCAGGAACAUGGGGUGACCCGGCAACCAUGCAAAGGAGGUGUUUUGAGAGAAUGAUCUGUUAUGACAAAGGUUGCUAUUCAGUCAAUGUGGGAGAACACGAUUUAAGACAGAAAUGGUGGGGGUGGCGGGGGAAGGCUUUAUACUUUAAUUUCUCCAGCGGGGAUGAGGGGCUGUUGCCUCUUCUGACUUGGCAAAUCGUAGAAAUUUUGGGCUUUCUCUACCCCCACCCCCCUUAUUUAUUUUUUUUCCUGUUUACAGAUGGAAAUUCUUUUCUGAGCUAAUCUCUUAAAGCACUUUGUCAAAUGCACCCACUAAUAACCGGCUCACGCUUUUAACAUUCUGUUUUCCAAUUAUGUUCUGUGGAGCUACAAUACGAUGAGGUACAUGAACUGUCUCAGAAAUUGUCAGACAAGAUUAUUUACCAAAUAAUUUGUGACUGCAUAAUAUGGCCUGCCAUCUCUCCAGCUUGUCAUGUGAUUUUCCUUACUGCUUAUUCUCUAAGCCAAGGCUACACGAGAGUUUAGAUUUUAAGGUUUUUAGCAGGGACCCCUUAAGAACCAAAUGGAAAGCUAGGCAGUCCCCCAAUUCCGGUGGCCAAAAAGAGUGAGCCUUUGUCUUCCACUCACACAAAGGCUGCGGCAGGGUUGGGGGGCCCCCACAGUGACUAUCUUCCAUUUCACGACUCGGCCUGGCUGAGUCCCUGCGGGUAGUGAAGGUCGUGUUGGAAAGAUGAGCAUCCGAAGUUAGGUUCUUCCAGGAGGAAGUUACACGCGUGCUCCUACCCGAAACCAGAUGACUGCUUCUAAUUUCGAAGGCUUAGAGAAGAAUAAGGUAUCAGAGAACAGCUGCAGAGCCUGCCUCGGAAAUAAUCUGUUUUUACUAUAUUUUGAGAGUCACAAAUCAGUGUAAAGCCAUGUGAAUUGACUUUUUAUCUUCUUACCUAAUAUCAAGGUGAUUUCUUGAAGAAAAAUUUUGCUUCACGGCUGGGUCUGAGGCUGUAAAGACAGAAUAGCCAGCAUAUUAUGAACAGGGGUGCCUCUGGGAAAAGCCCCUGAGAAGAUGGAAUGAAAUGAAAUCAAACUUUCUGCAGUCAAGUGCUGCUCUGUUACUUCCCAGCUGUGUGUCACUGGUCAAGGUAGAAUUGCCAGAUGUAGAAUAUAAAAAUACCAGCCUCCAGAAUUGUCAGAAAAACUUCCUUCCUGAAGCCACCCAGCCUGUGGUAUUUGUUAAUGUAGCUGGAGCAAGGCAGACCCACAGGGACCUCUGGAAGCAGAGUCCCAUCCCUUUCCCCCAGCAGACACCAUCCUCUGCCCAUGGGAAGAGUUCUGCUUACCCUUUUUCUGACAAAGGAAUAUUAUAGAGACAAAGCUGGAAAAAACACGUCACCCUGUGAAGGAGCUUUGGUUCAGCUGCAGAGCUAAACUCUUACCUCUGUGCUAAAUUGGAAUUGGCCCUGAAUGAUUAUGAAAACCUGCCGUUGCUGAAGGAUCUUAUUGGAAACCAAAGACAAGAACAGACAUUUCUUGGUGUCGCUAUGUCCUAGCAUGUGGUCUCUAUACUUGGGCUCCUGAAUGCUUUCCUGUGCCUUGUUAAAUGUAUUGUUUUUCUGGACCCCAUGCAAGAAAAAAAUGCUUAAAAAAAAAAAAAAAAAGAUAAGCUCUGGGCAGUACCAUGACAAACUCCUGCAUAUACUUUUAACUUUUCUUCUGAACCCAUUGAAUCUGUGUGUUAAAAAUUACCAUUAUUUGUUUAAAAUUAUGUUAAAAACACUGUUCUUCUCCCUCUUGUCUAAACAUAUUUAGUCUCUUAUUUGAAUUAGCUUCAUAUCUUUGUUUCAGAAUUCGAUUUAACUUGAACUUAUACUAAACCUUU
ensembl:lncRNA